rnacentral:sRNA from 1 species
CAUGCCCCUUAUACGCUGGGCUACACACGUGCUACAAUGGGUAGAACAGAGAGUUGCAAAGCCGUGAGGUGGAGCUAAUCUCAGAAAACUAUUCUUAGUUCGGAUUGUACUCUGCAACUCGAGUACAUGAAGUUGGAAUCGCUAGUAAUCGCGAAUCAGCAAUGUCGCGGUGAAUACGUUCUCGGGUCUUGUACACACCGCCCGUCACACCACGAGAGUUGGUUGCACCUGAAGUAGCAGGCCUAACCGUAAGGAGGGAUGCUCCGAGGGUGUGAUUAGCGAUUGGGGUGAAGUCGUAACAAGGUAUCCGUACGGGAACGUGCGGAUGGAUCACCUCCUUUCUAAGGAGAAAAAGUCUUUCUCUAUUCUAUUGGUAAUGUUCUUUACAUUACUUCUGAACAUUGGAAACUAUAUAGUAGAACAAACAAGAAAAAAAUUAACUCUAACAAUUUCUUAGAGUUAGCUGUCAAAAAAUAGGUUAAAAUAAUUAAGGGCACACAAAGGAUGCCUAGGUAGUAAGAGCUGAUGAAGGACGUGGUAAGCUGCGAUAAGCCUAG